rnacentral:rRNA from 1 species
CCCUUAGAUGUUCUGGGCCGCACGCGCGCUACACUGAUGCAUUCAACGAGUUUCUUCCUGGUCCGAGAGGAAUGGGUAACCUUUUGAAAGUGCAUCGUGAUAGGGAUAGACUAUUGCAAUUAUUGGUCUUCAACGAGGAAUUCCUAGUAGACGUAGUUCAUCAGACUGCAUCGAUUACGUCCCUGCCCUUUGUACACACCGCCCGUCGCUCCUACCGAUUGAAUGCUCAGGUGAGCCAUUCGGACUUUCAUCAUGCUGGUUUCCAGUUUUGCUGAAGGAAAGUCUUGCGAACCUUAUCAUUUAGAGGAAGGAGAAGUCGUAACA